rnacentral:tRNA from 1 species
GGGCGAUUAGCUCAGCUGGGAGAGCGCCGCCUCGACAAGGCGGAGGUCACUGGUUCGAGCCCAGUAUCGCCCACCU